CGGAACAAGACACCAGUACCCCGCA
rnacentral:piRNA from 1 species